rnacentral:rRNA from 1 species
AUACGUAGGGGGCGAGCGUUGUCCGGAAUGAUUGGGCGUAAAGGGCGCGUAGGCGGCCCGGUAAGUCUGGAGUGAAAGUCCUGUUUUUAAGAUGGGAAUUGCUUUGGAUACUGUCGGGCUUGAGUGCAGGAGAGGUAAGUGGAAUUCCCAGUGUAGCGGUGAAAUGCGUAGAGAUUGGGAGGAACACCAGUGGCGAAGGCGACUUACUGGACUGUAACUGACGCUGAGGCGCGAAAGUGUGGGGAGCAAACAGGAUUAGAUACCCUGGUAGUCCACGCUGUAAACGAUGAUUACUAGGUGUGGGGGGACUGACCCCUUCCGUGCCGCAGUUAACACAAUAAGCAUUCCGCCUGGGGAGUACGGCCGAAAGGUUGAAACUCAAAGGAAUUGACGGG